UGAGUUGAUCCUGGCUCAGGACGAACGCUAGCGGCGUGCUUUAAGCAUGCAAGUAGAACGAGUUGCGAUAGCAAUAUCGUAACUAGUUGCGAACGGCUGAGUAAUCAAUAGGAAUCUUUCCUUUAGUGGGGAAUACCUCAUCGAAAGAUGAGCUAAUACCGCAUAAUACCUACGGGUGAAAGCGAUUAACUUCGCGCUGAUUGAGGAGCCUAUUGCCCAUCAGGUAGUUGGUAGGGUAAAAGCCUACCAAGCCUACGACGGGUACCCGAUCUGAGAGGAUGACCGGGCAGAAUGGGACUGAGACACGGCCCAUACACCUACGGGUGGCAGCAACUGGGAAUCGUACACAAUGGACGAAAGUCUGAUGUCGCGACGCCGCGUGAAGGAUGAAGGCGUUUUCGUUGUAAACUUCUUUUGCCAAUGUAGAGAUGCAUUGGAGAAUAAGCACCUGCUAAUCUCGUGCCAGCAGCCGCGGUAAUACGAGAGGUGCAAGCGUUGUCCGGAUUUAUUGGGCGUAAAGCGUUUCUAAAGGCGCUUUUGUAAGUUAUCUUUCAAAGACCGGAGCUCAACUUCGGGAAGGGAGAUAAUACUGCAAGAGUUGAAAUAUUUCGGGGUUACUAGAACUAUCGGUGUAGGGGUGAAAUCCGUUGAUAUCGAUAGGAAUUCCAAGGGCGAAGGCAGGUAACUAGGAAUUUUUUGACGCUGAUGAACGAAAGCUAGGGGAGCGAAAGGGAUUAGAGACCCCUGUAGUCCUAGCCGUAAACUAUGCUCGCUAGACCAGUGGAUUUAUCUGCUGGACGUAAGCUAACGCGUGAAGCGAGCCGCCUGGGGAGUACGAACGCAAGUUUAAAACUCAAAGGAAUUGACGGGAGAGCGCACAACCAGUGGAGCAUGUGGUUCAAUUCGAGACAAACCGAAGAGCCUUACCAGGGUUUGACAUGCUAUCGUUUUAGUUCCGCAGAAACGUGGAAUGAUCUUAUUGAAAAAUGAGAUGAUAGCACAGGUGUUGCAUGGCUGUCGUCAGCUCGUGCCGUGGGGUGUUCCCUUCAGUGGGGUAACGAGCGCAACCCCUGUCCUGUAUUAAAUAUUUACAGGAGACUUUUCACCUUUUUGGUGGGAGGAAGUGGGGAUGAUGUCAAGUCAGCAUGGCCCUUAUGUCCUGGGCUACACACAUGCUACAAUGGAGCCGACAAUGGGUUGCCAAGCCGUAAGGCGGAGCUAAUCCCAUCAAACGGCUUCUCAGUGGGGAUUGAGGGCUGCAAUUCGCCCUCAUGAACGCGGAAUUGGUAGUAAUCGGGUAUCAGCUAUGGCCCGGUGAAUACGUUCUCGCUCUUUGUACACACCGCCCGUCAAGUCAGCAAAGUUGGGGGCACCCGAAUGUCUAAUGUUUAGGCAGAAGGUGACACCAGCGAUGAGGAUUAAGUCGUAACAAGGUAUCCGUUCUGGAAGGAGCGGCUGGAUCACCUCCUUUCU
rnacentral:rRNA from 1 species